rnacentral:rRNA from 1 species
GAUGAACGCUGGCGGCGUGCCUAACACAUGCAAGUCGAACGGAGUCGUUUUGGCAAUCUCUUCGGAGAUGGAAUUCUCGACUUAGUGGCGGACGGGUGAGUAACGCGUGAGCACUCUGCCUUUAAGAGGGGGAUAACAGUCGGAAACGGCUGCUAAUACCGCAUAAAGCAUUAAAUUCGCAUGUUUUUGAUGCCAAAGGAGCAAUCCGCUUUUAGAUGAGCUCGCGUCUGAUUAGCUAGUUGGCGGGGUAACGGCCCACCAAGGCGACGAACAGUAGCCGGACUGAGAGGUUGAACGGCCACAUUGGGACUGAGACACGGCCCAGGCUCCUACGGGAGGCAGCAGUGGGGAAUAUUGCGCAAUGGGGGAAACCCUGACGCAGCAACGCCGCGUGAUAGAAGAAGGCCUUCGGGUUGUAAAGAUCUUUAAUCAGAGACGAAACAAAUGACGGUACCUGAAGAAUAAGCUCCGGCUAACUACGUG